rnacentral:rRNA from 1 species
UACAGAGGUCUCAAGCGUUGUUCGGAUUCAUUGGGCGUAAAGGGUGCGUAGGUGGCGCCAUAAGUCAGAUGUGAAAUCUCGGGGCUUAACUCCGAAACUGCAUUUGAUACUGUGGUGCUUGAGGACUGGAGAGGAGACUGGAAUUUACGGUGUAGCAGUGAAAUGCGUAGAGAUCGUAAGGAAGGCCAGUGGCGAAGGCGGGUCUCUGGACAGUUCCUGACACUGAGGCACGAAGGCCAGGGGAGCAAACGGG